rnacentral:rRNA from 1 species
AAGCAGGGGAUCUUCGGACCCUGCGCUUAUAGAUGAGCCUAAGUCGGAUUAGCUAGUUGGUGGGGUAAAGGCCUACCAAGGCGACGAUCUGUAGCGGGUCUGAGAGGAUGAUCCGCCACACUGGGACUGAGACACGGCCCAGAUUCCUACGGGAGGCAGCAGUGGGGAAUAUUGGACAAUGGGGGGAACCCUGAUCCAGCCAUGCCGCGUGUGUGAAGAAGGCCUUAUGGUUGUAAAGCACUUUAAGCGAGGAGGAGGCUACUUUAGUUAAUACCUAGAGAUAGUGGACGUUACUCGCAGAAUAAGCACCGGCUAACUCUGUGCCAGCAGCCGCGGUAAUACAGAGGGUGCGAGCGUUAAUCGGAUUUACUGGGCGUAAAGCGUGCGUAGGCGGCUUAUUAAGUCGGAUGUGAAAUCCCCGAGCUUAACUUGGGAAUUGCAUUCGAUACUGGUGAGCUAGAGUAUGGGAGAGGAUGGUAGAAUUCCAGGUGUAGCGGUGAAAUGCGUAGAGAUCUGGAGGAAUACCGAUGGCGAAGGCAGCCAUCUGGCCUAAUACUGACGCUGAGGUACGAAAGCAUGGGGAGCAAACAGGAUUAGAUACCCUGGUAGUCCAUGCCGUAAACGAUGUCUACUAGCCGUUGGGGCCUUUGAGGCUUUAGUGGCGCAGCUAACGCGAUAAGUAGACCGCCUGGGGAGUACGGUCGCAAGACUAAAACUCAAAUGAAUUGACGGGGGCCCGCACAAGCGGUGGAGCAUGUGGUUUAAUUCGAUGCAACGCGAAGAACCUUACCUGGCCUUGACAUACUAGAAACUUUCCAGAGAUGGAUUGGUGCCUUCGGGAAUCUAGAUACAGGUGCUGCAUGGCUGUCGUCAGCUCGUGUCGUGAGAUGUUGGGUUAAGUCCCGCAACGAGCGCAACCCUUUUCCUUACUUGCCAGCAUUUCGGAUGGGAACUUUAAGGAUACUGCCAGUGACAAACUGGAGGAAGGCGGGGACGACGUCAAGUCAUCAUGGCCCUUACGGCCAGGGCUACACACGUGCUACAAUGGUCGGUACAAAGGGUUGCUACACAGCGAUGUGAUGCUAAUCUCAAAAAGCCGAUCGUAGUCCGGAUUGGAGUCUGCAACUCGACUCCAUGAAGUCGGAAUCGC